GACGAACGCUGGCGGCGUGCUUAACACAUGCAAGUCGAACGGAAAGGCCCUGCUUUUGUGGGGUGCUCGAGUGGCGAACGGGUGAGUAACCCGUGAGUAACCUGCCCUUGACUUUGGGAUCACUUCAGGAAACCGGGGCCAACACCCGAUCGGAGCUCCCGCUGCAUGGUGGGGGUUGGAAAGCUCCGGCGGCUGGGGCUGGACCCGCGGCUUAUCAGCUUGUUGGUGGGGUAGUGGCUUACCAAGGCCUUGACGGGUAGGCGGCCUGAGAGGGUGACCGGCGACAUUGGGACUGAGGGACGGCCCAGACUGCUACGGGGGGCAGCGGGGGGGAAUAUUGCACAGUGGGGGGAAGCGUGAUGCAGCAGCGCCGGGGGCGGGAUGACGGCCUUCGGGUUGUAAACCGCUUUCGCCUGUGACGAAGCGUGAGUGACGGUAAUGGGUGAAGAAGCACCGGCUAACUACGUG
rnacentral:rRNA from 1 species